AGAGUUUGAUCCUGGCUCAGGACGAACGCUGGCGGCGUGCUUAACACAUGCAAGUCGAGCGGUAAGGCCCUUCGGGGUACACGAGCGGCGAACGGGUGAGUAACACGUGAGCAACCUGCCCCCGACUCUGGGAUAAGCGGCGGAAACGCCGUCUAAUACCGGAUACGACCCGCCACCUCAUGGUGUGCGAGUGGAAAGUCUUUUCGGUUGGGGAUGGGCUCGCGGCCUAUCAGCUUGUUGGUGGGGUAAAGGCCUACCAAGGCGAUUACGGGUAGCCGGCCUGAGAGGGCGACCGGCCACACUGGGACUGAGACACGGCCCAGACUCCUGCGGGAGGCAGCAGUGGGGAAUAUUGCACAAUGGGCGAAAGCCUGAUGCAGCGACGCCGCGUGGGGGAUAAUCCCGCGGCCAUGGCGGCCGGGAGCAUGCGACGUCGGGCCCAAUUCGCCCUAUAGUGAGUCGUAUUACAAUUCACUGGCCGUCGUUUUACAACGUCGUGACUGGGAAAACCCUGGCGUUACCCAACUUAAUCGCCUUGCAGCACAUCCCCCUUUCGCCAGCUGGCGUAAUAGCGAAGAGGCCCGCACCGAUCGCCCUUCCCAACAGUUGCGCAGCCUGAAUGGCGAAUGGACGCGCCCUGUAGCGGCGCAUUAAGCGCGGCGGGUGUGGUGGUUACGCGCAGCGUGACCGCUACACUUGCCAGCGCCCUAGCGCCCGCUCCUUUCGCUUUCUUCCCUUCCUUUCUCGCCACGUUCGCCGGCUUUCCCCGUCAAGCUCUAAAUCGGGGGCUCCCUUUAGGGUUCCGAUUUAGUGCUUUACGGCACCUCGACCCCAAAAAACUUGAUUAGGGUGAUGGUUCACGUAGUGGGGCCAUCGCCCUGAUAGACGGUUUUUCGCCCUUUGACGUUGGAGUCCACGUUCUUUAAUAGUGGACUCUUGUUCCCAA
rnacentral:rRNA from 1 species